rnacentral:rRNA from 1 species
UACGGAGGGUGCAAGCGUUAUCCGGAUUCACUGGGUUUAAAGGGAGCGUAGGAGGGCAGGUAAGUCAGUGGUGAAAUCUCUCGGCUCAACCGAGAAACGUCGGCUGAUACUGCCGUUCUUGAGGGAUGCAGAGGAGACUGGAAUUCCCGGUGUAGCGGUGAAAUGUGUAGAGAUCGGGAGGAACACCGGUGGCGAAGGCGGGUCUCUGGGCAUUUCCUGACGCUGAGGCGCGAAAGCGUGGGGAGCAAACGGG